AAAAUUAAACCAUCCAAUAACAGGGGUGUCAAACUCAUUUUCCCAGAAGGCCACACUGGAAAAAGAGAAUCACACAAAGGGCCAGACAUGGAGAGUUCACUGACGGGCUUUAGUUACCACAUGUCACUUUUUUUUAACAUUUUUGUUGUUUUUUUCCGACGUUUUUGUGGCUUUCUCAGACAUUUGUCACCUUUUUGUAAAUUUGGUGCUUUUUAACAACAUUUUUGUACGCUUUUUGUUGACAUAAAGUCCUACAAAAGUCAUCAAAAGAGUUCCUUAGCCAACAUAGAAUUUAGCAAAUCAAGCAAAAACAAAGCUAAUUUUUUUUUAACAACAACCU